rnacentral:rRNA from 1 species
GACGAACGCUGGCGGCGUGCUUAACACAUGCAAGUCGAACGGAAAGGCCCUGCUUUUGUGUGGUGCUCGAGUGGCGAACGGGUGAGUAACACGUGAGUAACCUGCCCUUGACUUUGGGAUAACUUCAGGAAACUGGGGCUAAUACCGGAUAGGAGCUCCUGCUGCAUGGUGGGGGUUGGAAAGUUUCGGCGGUUGGGGAUGGACUCGCGGCUUAUCAGCUUGUUGGUGGGGUAGUGGCUUACCAAGGCUUUGACGGGUAGCCGGCCUGAGAGGGUGACCGGCCACAUUGGGACUGAGAGACGGCCCAGACUCCUACGGGAGGCAGCGGUGGGGAAUAUUGCACAAUGGGCGGGAGACUGAUGCAGAAACGCCGCGUGCGGGAUGACGGCCUUCGGGUUGUAAACCGCUUUCGCCUGUGACGAAGCGUGAGUGACGGUAAUGGGUAAAGAAGCACCGGCUAACUACGUG